rnacentral:other from 1 species
UUAUCCCUGCUGUGAGCGCCGGGUAAUUUAUUGUGUGUUGAACCAACAGCACAAGCACGGGAGCCUGACUUCAUGUUGCUUGAGGGCAAUGUGAGAAGGCACCCACCUAAAGGAUAGGGUUCAAAGCAAUUUAUCUGACGCCACGCGCGGGGUUUUU